UACAGAGGGGGCAAGCGUUGUUCGGAAUUACUGGGCGUAAAGGGCGCGUAGGCGGCCUUCUAAGUCGAACGUGAAAUCCCCCGGGCUCAACCCGGGAACUGCGUCCGAUACUGGCAGGCUUGAGUCCGGUAGGGGAGUGUGGAAUUCCUGGUGUAGCGGUGAAAUGCGCAGAUAUCAGGAGGAACACCGGCGGCGAAGGCGGCACUCUGGGCCGGUACUGACGCUGAGGAGCGAAAGCGUGGGGAGCGAACAGG
rnacentral:rRNA from 1 species